CCGUGUACUGGACUGUUCUAAAUUUAUCCGGAAGCUAACAGAAGAGGGUGGAGUGUCCUCUUCUAAAAAAAAAAGGAAGAGGGUGCAGUCGUUAGAUUCAUUCCUGCGUCCGGUUCGCCAAGGUCGGAACGCCCUAGCCGCGGUGUGUUAAUUCCUGCCCCAUCACAUCCAUUUGCAGUCUCAUACUUGUUCCUUUGGGUGUAUUAGAUCUCCAGUAUUCCAGCGGGCAGCGGCGAUAGAUCGGCUCGUUGGAGGUGAGCAGCAGAAGCACUGUCGCCGAAAAAAAGGUCCACAUUGUCCACAGCAAAAGUUCACAGAAACAUAGGUUCAGAACCACAUUAACCGAUUUGCAUGACAACCAAAAGAUAAGACAUAGAAGUGGGGGAGGAGAGAAAGUCCAUGCCAAUUAAGCUUCUGCAUUAUCAUCUGGCAUCUUCGACUCAGCUAGCUGUCUUCUUUUGUUGCGAGGAGCGUCAUCGACUUGGAUAUGCUGAAAUCCUUCCGUACUGUGGAGCAUUGGGCUUAUCUUGAUACCCACCGUACUGAGAGUUUGUACUAGUGUUGAUGUUUCUUGCUGUUGCUGUGAAUUUCUACUGUUUAGUUGCAUUAGGAGCAGCUUGUACUGGUGAGGGAUCAAGCACCGGUUCCGCGGGCGCAUGAAAAAGCUUAAGGUCCUCAUGUGGGAGCUUCUCGGUCAAGGGAAAACUGGGUAGCAGCAAUUGUCAACAGCACGCGAGCUAUGGUGUGACAGCACUUUUAGCAUGCUCGUGGACUGGACUUGUUGGCCUUCAGUGUUUCAGCUGUAGUUUGUUAUUAACGUUUCACCUUGAUCGUUGGUUUCGAGUUAUACCAGCUCUGUAUGUAAGCUCUUAACAUUUUACUGCCUUACUUGGUCCGUGACUAAAUGUUAAAUGUUCUUCAGUAUUUCUGCUUGCAAUGAUAGCUUGGAAUGUGCAUAUUAUUCUUUCUAAAAAAAA